UACGUAGGUGGCAAGCGUUGUCCGGAUUUACUGGGCGUAAAGAGCGCGCAGGCGGUCGUUCAAGUCGCGUGUGAAAGCCCCCGGCUCAACUGGGGAGGGUCACGCGAUACUGAUCGACUCGAAGGCAGGAGAGGGUAGUGGAAUUCACGGUGUAGCAGUGAAAUGCGUAGAUAUCGUGAGGAACACCAGAGGCGAAGGCGGCUACCUGGACAAUUGCUGACGCUCAGGCACGAAAGCGUGGGGAGCAAAAGGG
rnacentral:rRNA from 1 species